GGAAGCGAAACUGGUCUGGUGACUGGCCUGGACUUCAAAUCCAGUGGUCCUUUUCGAGAGAGGGGGACGAUGGGUUCGAUUCCCAUACGCUUCCGCCA
rnacentral:tRNA from 1 species